rnacentral:rRNA from 1 species
AUGAACGCUGGCGGCGUGGAUAAGGCAUGCAAGUCAAACGGACACUUUCGCAAGAUUGUGUUAGUGGCAGACGAGGUAGUAAUACGUAGGAACCUUCCCCCGAGUCAGGAAUAAUCCGUCGAAAGAUGGACUAAUACCUGAUAGUCUCUUAGGAGUAAAGUCGCAAGACGCUUGGGAUUGGGCCUGCGGGCUAUCAGCUAGUUGGUGGUGUAAUGGACCACCAAGGCUAUGACGGCUAGGGGAGCUGAGAGGCUGACCCCCACCGAUGGGACUGAGACACGGCCCAUACACCUACGGGUGGCUGCAGUCAAGAACCUUCCGCAAUGGACGAAAGUCUGACGGAGCGACGCCGCGUGAAGGAUGAAGUCCCUCUGGGACGUAAACUUCUUUUAUGAGGGAGAAAAUUUUGAUAGUACCUCAAGAAUAAGGGGUUGCUAAACUCGU